AAAGAAACCAACCGGGAUUGCCUCAGUAACGGCGAGUGAAGCGGCAAGAGCUCAAAUUUGAAAUCUGGCCCCUCCGGGGUCCGAGUUGUAAUUUGUAGAGGAUGCUUCGGGUGCGGCCCCUGUCUAAGUGCCCUGGAACGGGCCAUCGGAGAGGGUGAGAAUCCCGUCUGGGAUGGGGUGUCCGCGCCCAUGUGAAGCUCCUUCGACGAGUCGAGUUGUUUGGGAAUGCAGCUCUAAAUGGGUGGUAAAUUUCAUCUAAAGCUAAAUACUGGCCGGAGACCGAUAGCGCACAAGUAGAGUGAUCGAAAGAUGAAAAGCACUUUGAAAAGAGAGUUAAACAGCACGUGAAAUUGUUGAAAGGGAAGCGCUUGCGACCAGACUCGCUCCUGGGGUUCAGCCGGCUUUCGGGCCGGUGUACUUCCCCGGGGGCGGGCCAGCGUCGGUUUGGGCGGCCGGUUAAAGGCCCCUGGAAUGUAACGCCCCUCGGGGCGCCUUAUAGCCAGGGGUGUCAUGCGGCCAGCCUGGACCGAGGAACGCGCUUCGGCACGGACGCUGGCAUAAUGGUCGCAAACGAC
rnacentral:rRNA from 1 species